GCUGGAAUCGCUAGUAAUCGCGGAUCAGAAUGCCGCGGUGAAUACGUUCCCGGGUCUUGUACACACCGCCCGUCACACCAUGGGAGUCGGAAAUGCCCGAAGUCAGUGACCUAACCGAAAGGAAGGAGCUGCCGAAGGUGGAGCCGGUAACUGGGGUGAAGUCGUAACAAGGUAGC
rnacentral:rRNA from 1 species